rnacentral:rRNA from 1 species
CCAGCAAUCANCCUGUGUUCUCUUGAUGACACGGCUGGCGGCUUCCGGGAAACCAAAGUCUUUCGGUUCCAGGGGAAGUAUGGUUGCAAAGCUGAAACUUAAAGGAAUUGACGGAAGGGCACCACCAGGAGUGGAGCCUGCGGCUUAAUUUGACUCAACACGGGGAAACUCACCCGGCCCGGACACUGUGAGGAUUGACAGGUUGAAGCCCUUUCUUGAUUCAGUGGGUGGUGGUGCAUGGCCGUUCUUAGUUGGUGGAGUGAUUUGUCUGGUUAAUUCCGAUAACGAACGAGACUCUAGCCUACUAAUUAGACUGAGGCAUCCUUCGUGCUGCCUCAGCGCUUCCUAGAGGGACAGACGGCGUUUCAGCCGUAUGAGAAAGAGCAAUAACAGGUCUGUGAUGCCCUUAGAUGUCCGGGGCCGCACGCGCGCUACACUGAAGAGAUCAGCGUGUAUGUGCAUCCUACUCCGAAAGGAGCGGGAAACCGAGUGAACCCUUUUCGUGCUUGGGAUUGGGGAUUGUAAUUAUUCUCCAUGAACGAGGAAUUCCCAGUAAGUGCAAGUCAUCAGCUUGCAUUGAUUACGUCCCUGCCCUUUGUACACACCGCCCGUCGCUACUAUCGAUUGGAUGAUUUGGUGAGAACUUCGGACCGGUCGGUGAAGCGGCUCUCGUGGUCGCAUCGCUGUGCUGGGAAGAUGUUCAAAC